UCCGCUGAGGUGUGAAAAAGUCCUUUUCCUCUGCGCUGAAACGGCAGCUGGGAGCUCCGCUAUAAGAGGAAUAUUAAAGGCAUAUUAAAGGCGGGUUAGAGCCGGUUUAGAGCCGGGUUAGAGCCGCGUUAGGAGGGAGAAACUGCUGCAGAGGACCAUGUCGUCCUGAGAGGAUUUCUAAACGCUGAGAGCAGCGGCCGGUUCCAGUGGGAUGCGGCUGUGUGAUGGGAGAGGAUGGGCAACAAGCAGACAACCUUCACCGAUGAGCAGCUGGAGGCCUUUCAGGACUGCACCUUCUUCACCAGGAAAGAGAUCCUGAGACUCCACAGCAGAUACCGUGAGCUGGCUCCACAUUUAGUGCCACUGGAUUACACCAACAACCCCGACAUCAGAGUUCCCCUGGCGCUCAUCGUCGCCAUGCCGGAGCUCAAGGUACACCG